rnacentral:lncRNA from 1 species
GACUAUCUAUACGAAGAUUAAGGAACGAUACUUAUAGAAGGAAUUUUACAAGAAUAUAGAAGAAUUUAUGAGCUCUUAUAAAGAGUGCCAAUUGUAAUCCAAAGUGAGGUAUGGAGAUGGUUUAUGCCUUAUUUAUCCACUUGCCAUUCAUUUUUAAUUGGUGAUUGAUUUAGUUACCAUAGUGAUGGGACUUUGGGCAUGAAGUAUUUAAUUUUAGUAAAAGAAGAAUUUCCUAAUUAUGUGGAAGGAAGGGUAUUGAAGUCAAAGUCUAUGAAAGUGGUAUGUCGAUUUAUUUUGGAAGAUAUUAUAUGUC